AGUGAACGCUGGCGGUAGGCCUAACACAUGCAAGUCGAACGGAAGCACCGUAAGUGCUUGCUCUUACGGGUGGCGAGUGGCGGACGGGUGAGGUAUACAUCGGAAUCUUCUUUUUCGUGUGGGAUAAUGCAGGAAAAGCUACGCUAAUACAGCAUACGUCGCACGGGUGAAAGCCGGGGAUCUUUGGACCUUGUGCGAUUGAAUGAGCCGAUGUCGGAUUAGCUAUUUGGCGGGGUAAAGGCCAAGCAAGGCGACGAUGCGUAGAGGGUCUGGGAGGAUGAUCAGCGACACUGGAACGGGAGCACGGUCCAGACCACUGCGAGAGGCAGCAGGGGGGAAUAUUGGACAAAGGGCGCAAGCCGGAUCCAGGCACACCGCGUGGGUGAAGGAGGCCUUCAGGUUGGAAAGCUGUUUUGUGGGGUAGGAAAAGCAGCAGGUUAAUACCCCGCUGUUCUGACGGUACCCAAAAAAUAAGCACCGGCUAACUUCGUG
rnacentral:rRNA from 1 species